GGGGAAUAUUGCACAAUGGGGGAAACCCUGAUGUAGCAACGCCGCGUGAGUGAUGACGGUCUUCGGAUUGUAAAACUCUGUCUUUGGGGACGAUAAUGACGGUACCCAAGGAGAAAGCCACGGCUAACUACGUGCCAGCAGCCGCGGUAAUACGUAGGUGGCAAGCGUUGUCCGGAUUUACUGGGCGUAAAGGGAGCGUAGGCGGAUAUUUAAGUGGGAUGUGAAAUACUCGGGCUUAACCUGGGUGCUGCAUUCCAAACUGGAUAUCUAGAGUGCAGGAGAGGAAAGGAGAAUUCCUAGUGUAGCGGUGAAAUGCGUAGAGAUUAGGAAGAAUACCAGUGGCGAAGGCGCCUUUCUGGACUGUAACUGACACUGAGGCUCGAAAGCGUGGGGAGCAAAC
rnacentral:rRNA from 1 species